UACGGGAGGCUCCAGUGAGGAAUCUUCCGCAAUGGGCGCAAGCCUGACGGAGCAACACCGCGUGGAGGAAGAAGGCCUUCGGGUCGUAAACCGCUGUCAGGAGGGAAGAAACUGUUCAGGUCCAAUAGGCCUGUUCACUGACGGUACCUCCAGAGGAAGCACCGGCUAACUCCGUGCCAGCAGCCGCGGUAAUACGGAGGGUGCGAGCGUUAAUCGGAAUCACUGGGCGUAAAGCGUGCGUAGGCGGCGCAUCAAGUCAGGCGUGAAAGCCCUCGGCUCAACCGAGGAAUUGCGCUUGAAACUGUUGGGCUAGAGUCUCGGGGGGGGUGGCGGAAUUCCAGGUGUAGGGGUUGAAUCCGUAGAUAUCUGGAGGAACCCCGGUGGCGAAGGCGGCCAACUGGACGAGGACUGACGCUGAGGUACGGAAGCGUGGGGAGCAAACAGGAUUAGAUACCCCGGUAGUC
rnacentral:rRNA from 1 species